rnacentral:tRNA from 1 species
GGUUUAAUCCCGUCCUUAUCA